GCGAGAUUCCGGUGGCGCAUCCCAUCACUGCUAUUGAGAUCUCAAAUGUUGUCGGCAAUUCCAUCAAAUCCAAGAUCUCGAAAUUGACUCAGUUUUCAUUCUGUUCUUCGCAUUGUAUUCUAGGAAGAGAUAGCAGGGGUGUAUUAAUGAAUGAUUACGGAAUGAUUACGGUGUUUUGCUCUCUGAUUCUCUUGAGAUUCGCGCUGCGAUGAAGAUGAUUGGGUGCAAAUCUCCGUUUCCUGGAGGCGUUUUUGGGGAAGAAGAAAAACAAAAGGUGAUUUCUCUCGAUGGUGGUCUUCUUCUGGUACUGUAUAUUUGUACCAGUAUGUAUUGAAAUUUCUGGAUGUAGCGGUAAUUUCUGGUCCAAAAACUUCGCAAUUCUCAUCGAUUAAACAGCAGCAAUCCUGCAUAAAUCGCGAUCAUUUCCAAGUUCCUCUGAAACGCAGAUUACAAUGCUGAAAGCAGAGCCAGAGAGACGGGUAGGUUUUCCUAUGUUUGAGAGUGCGUGUAUCCGCUAAAGCUUUCUCUCUCUAAAUUUUCCGACGAAUUGUUAAAGUGAGGCGUUAAUGUGUAAUUUUCAUCAAGCUUCAUGUAAUGGUGUGUAGUUUGCAGACAUUAAGGUUUCCAGCUUCCAAUAAUGGUGUGAAUGAGCCGCCAGAUUGGGCAUCAAGUGAGUCAGUGUUGAGUUUUGAUUAUCGUCUUCUCGGACUUCGAGAUGAAGAUUGUUUGGUUUGGACAAGGGUUCUUGCUGUCAAGAAGUAAUUUCCACCUCACCAUACACUUUUAUUCUAA